rnacentral:siRNA from 1 species
CUGACGUGCAAAUCGUUCGUC